ACACGUGGGCGUCGCGUCACAUGGAAAUCAGCACCUUGGACAGCGGCUUCUGCCAAUGCGCAGCUGAACGCCAGAGAUUUUUUUCCCCACUCUCCCAUACCAAGGAAGGGAAAUGUAGAAUAGAGAAAUGGGAAGGACCAAAACAAAAUAAUGUAUUUAUAUUCCACUUAAUGUGCGCUCCUGGAACAAGAACAAGCGAUUCUGUGUUCUCCAGAAGACCAUCUUGGCUGUGGAACUGUGUUGUCAGAAACAAGCCGGGAAUCGUUGCAGGAAGAAGGGGAGAAACACAGAGUGGAAAUUCAAUGGAAAAUGGAUGAAUGCAUUUCGACUGAAUUUCGGUGUCUUGUCCGAUAUGGUUUAAAAUGCGAACACGCUGGGUUUUGAAGUGGAUCUCAGAUGCUUUCGGCGGGGGAAUUGUGUGGAACGUUUUCUUUAUUUAUCAACCCGAGAAAAAACUGUGAAAGAGGGGAAAGGAAGAAAAAAUAUACACCAUGAUGCGAUGGCUGGGAUGGCAUUGAGGGACAGACAAAAGGGAGAUGCUUUGAAACUCGUUUGAUUACACUUCGUAUUUUUAUAUGGACGGGGUGAAUUGUAACAACAUGUCUUGGUGGAUGCACUGACAGCGUUGUGACAUCUGUUUUUUUUAUAUCGCUUCAUCCACGAGCUACAGUAGCCUACGUUCUCCCGCGCCCCUUCCGCGCUGUCCUCUCCGCUGUCGACAGAAUACCGAAUUUUCGUUGCAAAGAUACGCCAGAUCGCCUUUAGUAGCAAAGAGCUUUCCGUUGGUGCCAUACAAAGCAAGUGUAGAUCUGAAAUGGAACGGGGCGGUUUGUUUUUGACCAGACUGACGUUUAAUUCUGCCAUUCACUCAGAUCUAUAGCUAUCGUGAUUUAUUUUAUACCGGCAGGUCUCUGUCUGUUUAUGAAAAAACUUCCGCAUUGGCUAUUAUAGCCUACACAUGCUAUCACUACAAAGGAAGUAACAACUGUCAAACGUGCCUCUUCUGCUGUUUCCAAUUAGACAUGUGAACAGCUAUUCACCGAGAUUGCACCUUGGAGGCCAUGCUUAAAGCAAACUCCGAUGUUGUUUUUUUAUUUACAAGCUCGGCCUCCGAACAGAAACAACAUAUACAAUAGUGGAGAACAAUAAUCCAUAGGUGGCUGCCGAGACGUGCGGCAGAAAUGUUGCACGUAUUGAGCUUUUAUUGUUGACAGCUUUUUCUUAAAAUUCCGUUUCAACCCCCUC
rnacentral:lncRNA from 1 species